GUGUUGAGGCCCCUUUGUUGCAUUAUCUGUCCCAACCAGUGGGCGGUAUUUUGUAGCUGGAGGGCGAUGGUCUGGAGGUCCUGGUUGGACAAGGCCGCUGCGGGCACAUUCCCUGCCAAGCUUGGCGAGGGGUUGAAAGGAAUGGGUGGUUGGUUAUUGGGAGUCGUAGGACUGGAAAAAGAGAACUGCUGCCCCUCUUGAGCAGAGCUCAGGUCGUUGAGAGUGUUAAGAUUGUUUUCAUUGUGAUUAGCCAUCGUGGAUCUCAG
rnacentral:lncRNA from 1 species